ensembl:lncRNA
ACCUGAACCAAGAGGAGCUGCAGUAUGGAAGGGAAAGAAGCUCCAAAAGUUGAUUCUGUUCAUCUGGACGUAGCGUUUUGUGGGAGAAACGUUUCAUCACUCAUCCAAGUGACUUCUUCAGUCUCAGCUGACCCAGGGGAAUCUACACCGAGCCUGUAUGGUUUACCAAAAAUACAUAAACAGGGUGCACCUCUAAGUCCGAUUGUCUGCAUGAUCAACUCGGUCACCUAUAACAUCUCCAAGUUUCUGGCUUCGAUCCUCAACCCGCUGGUGGGCAGCUCUGAACACCACAUCCAGGACACCCUGGAUUUUGUUGUAAUGUCCUGAUGACACCUAUUUUGUGAUCCAGUGGAUUAUGGCUAUGUUCACACUGCAGACGAAAGCGCAUCAAAUCUGACACCUUCGCACAAGAGAGAGCACAAGAGGCUAACACUGAUGAGGUGUGGACAGUCCUACAUUACCUGGCGGGUGAGUGGCUGUGGGUGGGUGGAGAAGAGAUGCAAUAUGUGGAUAUCCCAUGCUGCCUAAUUGAAAGCUUCUGUGGUGUCCUUGAGAAGAACGGUGCUCCAGCUUUUUAAUAAGAAGCAAAGAUGAAAUCCUGAGGCCACCCAAGUGGAAGCCCCACACCAUCUAGCUACACCUUAAAAAAAACAACAACAACAAAAAGAAAAAACUAUGACUAUGCCCAAACAACAAACAAAGGCAGCUCUGACCGUGGACAUCAACGGGGAGUGCGUGGAAAGGGUCUCCAGUUUCAAGUUUCUGGGUGUGCACAUAGACACAGACCUCCAAUGGAGCUCUAACACCUCUGCGGUCUUAAAGAAGGCCCAACAGCGUCUCCACUUUCUGAGAAUCCUCAGAAAAAUGGACCUGAAGAAGGAGCUGCUGACCGUCUUCUACCGCUGCUCCAUUGAAAGUGUGCUGACAUAUUGCAUCGGUGUGUGGUUCUCCAGCUGCACCACAGCACACAGAAAGGCACUCCAGAGGGUCAUCAACAUGGCCCAAAAAAUCAUUGGACAUCCUCUUCCCUCCCUGAAGGACCUGUACAGCACUCGCUGUCUCAAGAGGGC